AUGUUUGCCAGGCUGCUAAUGAGCUCUGAUGGGUGCCCUAAGCUGCUUCACCUGAGUCCCUCAUCCCCAGAGGUCCCCCUGGGAGCUGUGUCUCCUGCUCUUGGCUUCAUUUGGACUUGCCUCGGAAACUGGGCUGUUGCUGACCCUGGCUGUGACUCCCAGACCUGUUCAACAUUUGCCCAGGGAGUUUUACAGCUGGGCUGGGGCAGCCCCAGAGCCUCUGAAGAGCAAACCUGGGCUGGCUGCACUGCAGCACGCUCCUGCCUUGUCAUCACUGGCUUGGUCCUAGCCAGGAAGGCUAACCUUUGUGGGUUAAGGUCUUUAAAUGAUCUAAAAGUGUUGAAGCUACCUGGCGAAAGGACUGCUACCACCAGGCAUCUCUUGGCUCUUUCUUGGCCACUGGCUGAUGUCAAACAGAAGGGGACCUGAAGGUGCUUCCUACCAGGACCUCAGUUUCUGAGCGCUGCGGAUGCUGGAUGUGGGGCAAUCCAAGCUCUGGCUGCUUUGUAAUGUGGUGCCUGUGGGAUAUAAGCUGCAGCCCACCAUUUCCCUCCUCCAGGACAACAUAAGCCUGAUUUCUCUUGGUUUUGCUAUCCCUAUUAUUAUUCUUAUGCCAGGUGAACUCAGAGGCUCUGCCACCAACCAUGCAUUAGAAAUGGUCGCUGUUCCUUGUCAGGGUCUGACGCUGCCAUCGAGGGCAGGUCACUUAAACGUCAGUGGGUUUGGGAGGGGGGGGACAACGUGUGUGUAUAUUCUCUAGCUCACAGAGCUUAAUAAUCCUGUGGAAAGGAAGCUGUUACAGGAUGCUUAUCAUUUUUUACCUACUAACUCAUUUUCAAGCAAAACUGGAAGAUUUAUGCCCAUGAGAUAGCCUGCAAAGUUCAAGUGAAGGGGAGUGGAAAGAGCAACCCUCAAACUUUUCAUAAGUCACACAGAAAAGACCUGAAAAAAUCCUCUGGCAAGGGAUGAUGAAAGAGCCUCAUGGUUUUGAAAAGUUUUUUUUCCUAGGGUUAAAGUCUGCCUGCUGCAGAGUUAGACUUUCUCCUGCUCGGAAACCAUGUAAAAGUUAAACAGUUCAAGAGUAUUUGCUGCUGUAAAUUGUUAUCCAGAAUCCUGGUGCUCUUGGCUGUCUAUGUUUUAUCUCUUAUUCAUGUCUUUUCCUUCAAUAUUUAAGGUCAUUUUCUGUUUUAUGGCAUGACAUAAACUGAUAACAAAACCCUACAGCCUCAAUAGUUACUUUAACCACUUAUUUUCUUUUAAACAUUUUGUCUUGCCAAAUUAUUGAGUCAGCUGUAAUGACCUUGAUGUAAACAUGUACUUUUGAACUUAUAUGAGGAUCAAAGGCAAAGCAAUGUUAAAUGGAGGCUGGAAUCUGGAAAUGACCCAUGCAAAGUUGGCAUCCGUCUUCCCUCUCCUUUCAUUCAUUUUUGCAGUGUGGAGCCCAGAAUAAAUUUGCUCAUUUCAAAAGUGAAGAAAAUUUA
rnacentral:lncRNA from 1 species